UAAGAUUGUAGUAUCGCAUGAUAUAGCAAUUAAAGGAAGGCAAUCCGCUAUAAGAUGGACCCGCGUCGCAUUAGCUAGUUGGUGAGGUGAUGGCUCACCAAGGCGACGAUGCGUAGCCGACCUGAGAGGGUGAUCGGCCACAUUGGGACUGAGACACGGCCCAGACUCCUACGGGAGGCAGCAUG
rnacentral:rRNA from 1 species